rnacentral:lncRNA from 1 species
AAUAAGUGAGAGAGAUCUAGACAUAGGCAAGAUAGCACACUAGGGGUAGGGACAUGCGGCUGCGGUCGGGCCGUCAAAGGAUUCUACGUUUUUCCCACAAGCAUGAUCACUACCAAUUCUUUAAAACGAACUGACAUUGAUACUUGAGUAUGACUUCAAUUCUUUCUGAAAACGCACAUUCAUACUUGAGUAUGACAUGGCGUUAAUAUUAUGAGGCAUACAAGAUAAAGCAAGCCACACAUAAAAAAUAAAACAGAUAAUUCAUUAUUCCGUUGUCAAAUAGUACACUCAUUGAAAUAUUUGUAGAUUCACCACGCUCAUACAUAUAUGAGCAAACAAUAUAAUUCACGCAUGCCCACACAGACUACAUAUAGCAUUACUAAUGCAUGGCUAUCGAUAUCACACUCGCUCACUUUAUUCAAUCGAUUCUAGCCUAUAAUAAAGGCACAAAAGAUAAAGUCGGCCAUGUAAGGCAGGCUAACUAGCCAAUGUAUGGUGCAGGAGGAGCAACCACCCAUGUAUCAGGCACUGGGCCAACGACGUUGUAAAUGAUAACGCGUACUUGGUCUUGUGGCGGUGGGGAUGGAGCCUCGCCUGGAGGGAGUACUCGGGCAAUUCUGAUAUCAGGCCUCUCCUGAGAGAUGAUCUGAACUGCAGCAUUGAGUUCAGUACCAAUCAGACCCGGCCACGAUUCAGGUACCGUACCAGGCAUGUCUACCCUUAUCACGCACUAACCCAAGCCUUCCUCCCUUCUGAAACUGUUAAUUAACAACAAGCAUCAAUAAUUGAGAAAUACAUAGAGAAUCAAGAGAAACAUGCAUGGUGUUUCGUUUUUCUAAUAAUAAUAAUAUGCCUUAAUAAUCUCUGGUAUUAACUGAUAAAGGGAUGGGAAACAUGCUCUAAGCCUAGGAAGAUGUCAUAAUCGAAAGCAUUAUCUCCUAGACAAACAAGUAAUCAGUCUACUGAAAUAUUUAAUGGAAAAUGUAUGCAACACUAAAAAAAAUUCAUGCCAACCUUUAGGGAAGAAGAGGCUGCUAUACCUAACAGAACCUUAGCUUUUCUCGUGGUGAUGAUCUUGUGUUCAAGGUAUGUGUGCGUAUAAAUACAAAUGGAUGAGUGCACUCCCAUUUGAGUAGCUUACGCCAUGUCGAUUAUAACAAUGCAUGCAUUUUGUUCACAGUUAAUUGAUAAGAAGCAUCAACAUAUGCCCUCCUUGUCCAAAUUAAGGAUGUCGAUGAUAACGAUGCAUUCAUUUGUCUUCAUUAAUUAAUAAACAACAGCAUAUCCACUGUUGUCGAGAUUAACGAUGUUGAUGGCAAAGAUCCAUGCAUUUUACAUGAUUGAUUAAGAAACAUCAGCAUAUCCCACUUCCGUUGAGAGUAACGAUGUCGAUGACAUAAUAAUGCAUGCAUAAGCGUGUAAGUUGAAAUAGCAUGCAUGUACCUUUUUUAUAUUAGAUAUACGUAUGCAGAGCAUCACCACAUAGAAACAUGUGUGUUUAAAUAAGUGCAUCUUAUUGCAACAUACUUUUGCUCAAUUUAUUAUUUCAACACAGAUUAUUGUCCCAUUUAUCCAGAAAAAUCAUCACUACAAGUUCCUUUGGAUCUGCAAGUUAUAUAAAGGUAUCACUGUCGAUUCAUAGGAAGUAAUGCAUUGUUGUGCGUUUUUAGAAAGAAUUGAAGUCAUACUCAAGUAUCAAUGUCAGUUCUUUUUAUAGAAUUGCUUAGUGAUCAGGCUUGUGGAAAAUAUGUAAAAUCCUAUGACAUCCCGACUGCAGCAGCAUGUCCCAACCCCUAGUCUACUAUCUUGCUCGUCUCUACAUCUCUCUCACUUAUGUCAUCAAUGGAUAUCUCUCGUCGCCUAGUAAGCCCGCUGCCCAUCCCCAUAAAAAAUCAUCGCUUUGAAACAUUAAUUUACAAUUUAUUAAUUAAAUCCGUGAUCAAAAUUUGGCAUAAAAUAGUAAGGAACCAAUAAACCAGGAUGAGAAGGUAGUAGCUACCUAGGGUUCCCAGUGGAAUUAAGACUUGAGUGGGCGAGGUCGGUCGGCUAGAACAUGGAAUGCAAUUAUUAAUUUCUUAACAGGUGCACGAGAUGGACUAUUAUAUAUGAGCCUCGAGCCUCCCUGGACCAUGCCAUGUUGCAUGGAAAUACUAGACAUGUCAUUUUCAGCUCAUCCGGCUACCAGCUCUGCUUGAUUUUGUCGAUCACGAAUGUUUCUUCAUUCCAUUUUUUCUUUCAAAAACACAGACGCAGACGCAGACGUAGACAUGCAUGCAAAAGGAAACGCUCAUCCACCACUCGGCGUGAUGCACGAGCAAGACGCCAAGAUUGAGUCGGACUAAUUAUUGUUAAUAAAUCCAUACGGCAGUGGUGAUGCUGUGGUUAAUUAACCAAUUAAGGGAGGAAGGGUGGGUGGGAGGGAGGGAGCUACCCGAAUACAAAUAAUUCAUGCAUGCCCCAUCCAUGAUGGAUGUGUACAUGGACACUCAAUUGAUGAUCCCCCCCCCCCGGUUCCUUUCUUAAUUUCAGCUGCACGGGUUUAACCAGCUAGUCAAAAGGUACUUAUUUGACUUACAAGAUUGGAAGAUGGUCAGAAAAUAUAUUUAUUAGGCCUUAUGUUCCAGAAGCUAAUGGUAUAGCUUCUAGAUUUGACCGCUCUUAUGGCACCCACACUCUCAUUUUGAAUCACUAGCUUUUGUUUCGAUUUAACCAGUUGCUCACAUGUAAUUUGAUGUACUUAUUUUAUAUAAUUCAAUUCGAUGUGAAGUUUGGCACCAAUGUAGCUAGAUAAAAAGUAAGGCAACAAAGGAAGACUAAAGUAGGAAAAGGAAAGGAAGGUAACCCGAGUACAUCACAAUGCUAAAUGUAGCCUUAGUUACAUGGAUACGACGUUAAACCACAUAUUAAAGAGUAAUGAGUGUAUAUAGCAACAAAUGAACCAACCAAGGCAACCUUACCAUAGAUUGAUUGAGAUCUAUGACAGCACACAUCCAAAGUUGAACACAAUGCAUGCACACUACGUGUGUUACUCUUUGCAAAGAAGAUGUUCUCAUCAGCGAAGAGGGGAUGUGAGAUAGGAGGACCAAGUCGGCCUUUCAAACAAGAAAAAACAUUUUCUCUUUCUUAGUUUUGAUUUUGUAAUAGAGGAGAGCGAAAGCUGCCAUUACAGUCGAUGGAGAGCUUUGAGAAGGUGCCAACCAAAAUGAUGGUGAUCUGCAACUGCAUUGCAUGAUAGGAUAACAUGAUGCAUGCAUCAAGAGAGAUGCGUGCUUGUUAAUAGGAGUCCGCUGGUAGCGCCACCAUCGGCUGGGUCGUUGGGACACAUAUGGUGGUGCCUGUGGGGCCGUGAAUGCGAACACCAUGCCGACACACCAACAACCAAGUUAUUGGGGAGAAGAGUAAGCUCUUCCAAGGAUAGGCAACUUCAUGAAGCAACUGCUCCCUAGCAAGGUUUAGCUGUCGCAAGAUGCAUGGUCGCACUAGCAGGAGGUUUUCUAUUCCAUGAACGACUCAAGAAACGAUAGAUGAAGACAUGCCUGAGUUACCGUUCCAUAUUUUUCUGUCUAAUCAUCUUAUUUGUCAACUGAAAUUCAACCAAUUUCUCGUCUCAAUAAAGUUUACCUCAAUUAAUAGUUAAUCUACAUGGAUCGAUGGAACUACCUUUUUGAAAUAAUUAGGGGGUGUACCGAAGCAAAAGUCAAAUAAUAAUGAACAUACGACCGAGAUGGUUGACAUGUUCCAACCACAGACUGGUAGUUCAUGACAGCAGUGAGAUGAGUGGGUUUUUUUACUGGGAAAAUAAUUGUAUUACUGAAACAGUAGGAUUACAGUAAAAUUUACAAAGUUUUAUGACCUCAUCAGGUCCUGAACCUAACCAAAAAGACAUAACUUGCCAUAGAGUGGCUUAUAUUGUUUUCGGUGCGACAUAUAUGAGUAAUACUACUAUUCCCUUCAGGAAGUUUUCUUUGGAUCCCCUAGAUCAAGAAAGGGUUUCUUAACCUAUCAAUUUCCUUGUUCUCAACAAGUUGACGGCCUCAAGACAUUCCGAUUGUCCAAUUAUCGGAAGAUUACUCAACUACAGAGCCAAAGAUACACCUUCAAAGAUUGCUGAUAGUUCUGACUCAAGAGCAUUAUCACACAUGAUCAGCAACAUGAAGUAAAUAUGAUUGCACCACUUGAAUCUCUGAGCAACAUACCAGUUGUCGCCGAACCAUCAAAGGGCGGAUACGAUCCAUCUGUAUCAACAAAAAAAAUAGCUCGCUAUAUCGCCGUUAUAGCGCCGUUAUGUGUAUUUGAAGAAACGAUACGGUUAGCAAAUUCGGCCGCUAUGGUGCUAAUCACGUUAUUCCAUUCUCUACUAGUGUGAAUUGUAAUGUCCAUUAUCUGUUCUGGAUGGUUCCAACAAUGCAAUGGUUCAUCAUUAUUGGUCUAGAUUCAGCAAAGGUGCGAUCUUUCUAGCUCUGUCAUGUAAGAUUGUAAUCUGGUGCUACCAGUAACUGUGAAAUUUACCUCUUAAGUUGAACAAUUUUUGUUGUAAAUUACUCUACUUCAUAUAGGUGUGUGAUGAUCAGAGGAGGAAUUGUGAUGUACAUAUGACAUAUUUCCUUUAGCUUUUCGUGGUUUAUUUUUUUCUUUUUUUUUCUUUUUUGAUGGGGAGGGGCAGCGGGCUUACUAAGCUACAAGAGACAUCCAUUGAGGAAAUAUGUGAGAGAGUUGUAGAGAUAGGCAAGAUAGCACACUAAGGGUAGGGACAUGCGGCUGCGGUCGGGCCGUCAAAGGAUUCUACGUUUUUCCCACAAGCAUGAUCACUACCAAUUCUUUAAAACGAACCGACAUUGAUACUUGAGUAUGACUUCAAUUCUUUUUGAAAACGCACAUUCAUACUUGAGUAUGACAUGGCGUUAAUAUUAUGAGGCAUACAAGAUAAAGCAAGCCACACAUAAAAAAAUAAAACACAUAAUUCAUUAUUCCGUUGUCAAAUAGUACACUCAUUGAAAUAUUUGUAGAUUCAUCACACUCAUACAUAUAUGAGCAAACAAUAUAAUGCAUGCAUGCCCACAUAGAC